GAUGAACGCUAGCGGCAGGCUUAAUACAUGCAAGUCGAGGGGCAGCAUGAAUGUAGCAAUACAUUUGAUGGCGACCGGCAAACGGGUGCGGAACACGUACACAACCUUCCUAUAAGUGGGGAAUAGCCCAGAGAAAUUUGGAUUAAUACCCCGUAACAUAACGAUGUGGCAUCACAUUGUUAUUAUAGAUUUUUCGCUUAUUGAUGGGUGUGCGGCUGAUUAGAUAGUUGGCGGGGUAACGGCCCACCAAGUCUACGAUCAGUAGCUGAUGUGAGAGCAUGAUCAGCCACACGGGCACUGAGACACGGGCCCGACACCUACGGGAGGCAGCAGUAAGGAAUAUUGGACAAUGGACGCAAGUCUGGUCCAGCCAUGCCGCGUGAAGGAUUAAGGUCCUCUGGAUUGUAAACUUCUUUUAUAAGGGACGAAAAAAGGCUUUUCUAAGUCGUCUGACGGUACCUUAUGAAUAAGCACCGGCUAACUCCGUGCCAGCCGCCGCGGUAAUAC
rnacentral:rRNA from 1 species